rnacentral:rRNA from 1 species
UACGGGGGGGGCAAGCGUUGUUCGGAAUUACUGGGCGUAAAGGGCUCGUAGGCGGCCAACUAAGUCAUACGUGAAAUCCCUCGGCUUAACCGGGGAACUGCGUCUGAUACUGGAUGGCUUGAGUUCGGGAGAGGGAUGCGGAAUUCCAGGUGUAGCGGUGAAAUGCGUAGAUAAUCUGGAGGAACACCGGUGGCGAAGGCGGCAUCCUGGACCGAUACUGACGCUGAGGCGCGAAAGCCAGGGGAGCGAACGGG